CAGUAGCCACGGGAAUACAGAGGGUGCGAGCGUUAAUCGGAGUUACUGGGCGUAAAGCGUGCGUAGGCGGCUUCUUAAGUCGGAUGUGAAAUCCCUGAGCUUAACUUAGGAAUUGCAUUCGAUACUGGGAAGCUAGAGUAUGGGAGAGGAUGGUAGAAUUCCAGGUGUAGCGGUGAAAUGCGUAGAGAUCUGGAGGAAUACCGAUGGCGAAGGCAGCCAUCUGGCCUAAUACUGACGCUGAGGUACGAAAGCAUGGGGAGCAAACAGGAUUAGAUACCCCAGUAGUCCCUGUCUCUUAUAU
rnacentral:rRNA from 1 species